CAGUAGCCGCGGUAAUACGAAGGGUGCAAGCGUUAAUCGGAAUUACUGGGCGUAAAGGGCGCGUAGGUGGUUAUUUAAGUGAGAUGUGAAAUCCCCGGGCUUAACCUGGGAACUGCAUCUUAUACUGGGUAACUGGAGUGCAGUAGAGGGUAGUGGAAUUUCCGGUGUAGCGGUGAAAUGCGUAGAUAUCGGAAGGAACAUCUGUGGCGAAGGCGGCCAUCUGGGACAACACUGACGCUGAGGCACGAAAGCGUGGGGAGCAAACAGGAUUAGAUACCCGUGUAGUCCCUGUCUCUUAUAC
rnacentral:rRNA from 1 species